UACGUAGGGUGCAAGCGUUGUCCGGAUUUAUUGGGCGUAAAGAGCGUGUAGGCGGCCAGGUAGGUCUGCUGUGAAAACUCGAGGCUCAACCUCGAGACGUCGGCGGAAACCAUCUGGCUAGAGUCCGGAAGAGGAGAGCGGAAUUCCUGGUGUAGCGGUGAAAUGACGCAGAUAUCAGGAAGAACACCCGUGGCGAAGGCGGCUCUCUGGGACGGUACUGACGCUGAGACGCGAAAGCGUGGGGAGCGAACAGG
rnacentral:rRNA from 1 species